rnacentral:rRNA from 1 species
UACAGAGGGGGCAAGCGUUGUUCGGAAUUACUGGGCGUAAAGGGCGCGUAGGCGGCCUGCUAAGUCGAACGUGAAAUCCCCGGGCUCAACCCGGGAACUGCGUCCGAUACUGGCAGGCUUGAAUCCGGGAGAGGGAUGUGGAAUUCCAGGUGUAGCGGUGAAAUGCGUAGAUAUCGGAAGGAACAUCAGUGGCGAAAGCGACUUCCUGGACCAAUACUGACGCUCAUGUGCGAAAGCGUGGGGAGCAAACAGG